rnacentral:rRNA from 1 species
AUGAAACCAUCGCCAAUGGAUCUGCAGAUCGUGGGACGGCACGCGUUGCUCUUUGACGACGACGCGGCGGCGGAGGUCGUAAACUCCGGCGGUUCCCUUGUCCCCUGGUCCGUCGCCGGCGCGGCCGAUCUCCUCCUUGACCGCCACGACGUCCGCCACCUCCUCAACCGCGUCCCUCCUCAUUCAAAUCGCGCCUACUCUGUGGCCCUCCUCUCAACCCCCUCUCCUGAUGGCGUGUCCGAGGCUGAGCUUGACCGCGAGCGCUUCCUCGACCUCACCGCCGACGUCGGCACUGGAGACGCGUCCCCUUCAGGUAUAAACCCCUCUACCCUCUGUGCUUAUUGUAUAUGA